rnacentral:rRNA from 1 species
GAUGAACGCUGGCGGCGUGCCUAAUACAUGCAAGUCGAGCGAACAGACGAGGAGCUUGCUCCUCUGACGUUAGCGGCGGACGGGUGAGUAACACGUGGAUAACCUACCUAUAAGACUGGGAUAACUUCGGGAAACCGGAGCUAAUACCGGAUAAUAUAUUGAACCGCAUGGUUCAAUAGUGAAAGACGGUUUUGCUGUCACUUAUAGAUGGAUCCGCGCCGCAUUAGCUAGUUGGUAAGGUAACGGCUUACCAAGGCAACGAUGCGUAGCCGACCUGAGAGGGUGAUCGGCCACACUGGAACUGAGACACGGUCCAGACUCCAACGGGAGGCAGCAGUAGGGAAUCUUCCGCAAUGGGCGAAAGCCUGACGGAGCAACGCCGCGUGAGUGAUGAAGGUCUUCGGAUCGUAAAACUCUGUUAUUAGGGAAGAACAAAUGUGUAAGUAACGAUGCACGUCUUGACGGUACCUAAGCAGAAAGCCACGGCUAACUACGU